UACGUAGGGUGCAAGCGUUGUCCGGAAUUAUUGGGCGUAAAGAGCUCGUAGGCGGUCCGUCACGUCGGCUGUGAAAACUCGGGGCUCAACCCCGAGCCUGCAGUCGAUACGGGCAGACUAGAGUGCUGUAGGGGAGACUGGAAUUCCUGGUGUAGCGGUGAAAUGCGCAGAUAUCAGGAGGAACACCGGUGGCGAAGGCGGGUCUCUGGGCAGCAACUGACGCUGAGGAGCGAAAGCGUGGGGAGCGAACAGG
rnacentral:rRNA from 1 species